rnacentral:rRNA from 1 species
AUGUUCAUGAUUAAAUCCAAUGCUUAUACUAUACCUCCUACUUCCAUUCUACAUUUUUGUAGCAAUGUAGAUGUCGACCGUAGUUGGAUGUACAAAGAGAGACGAGGGAAGUUGAUCAGUGAUGCUUGGCAACAUGGAGUAGAUAAUUUCCUAGAUCAUGCAUUCUCAUUGCCCGAUGCUGCUGUAGAUGGGAAAUCCCAUUGUCCUUGCAGCAAGUGCUUUUGCGGUCAUAAGUGGACAAGGGAUGUCAUGACCACACACUUGUGCAGCAAUGGGUUCAUGUUAGGAUAUGAGAGAUGGACUAGCCACGGGGAGUCUGAUGCACCUGAAAAUGUAGAGCAUGAUAACGUGGGGGAUGGAGAUAGAAUGAAUGACAUGCUAGUUGAUGCAAUUGUUGCUGAAGGAGUUUCUAAAGGUGAUGAGCCAACAAAAUCUGCCAAAAAAUUCUAUGAAAUGUUGAUGGAAGCCGACAAACGUUUGCAUGAGAAGACCACACAAUCACGUCUAUCCAUUGUAGGAAGGCUAAUGACUAUUAAAACACAACAUAAUCUGUCAGAAGCUUGUUACAAUGAGAUGAUGACUCUUAUACAUGACAUUGUUGGGGACGAUGCUGCAAAAGAUCUCCCAGCAAACUUCCAUAGGUCCAAGAAGCUUGUGCAUAGUCUAGCAAUGCCUUACGUCAAAAUUCAUGCAUGCCCCAAUAAUUGUAUGAUUUAUUAUAAGGAGAAUGAAAAUAAAGAAAAAUGCACUAUCUGCAAAGAACCUAGAUAUGAGGAAACAACCGCAGGAAAUAAAUCUACGAAGAUACCAAGAAAAGUUCUGCGCUAUCUCCCAAUUACUCCUAGGCUACAACGGUUGUACAUGUCACAAAGCACUGCCAAGCACAUGGACUAUCACGCAAGGCCUCAUAACAGUGAUGAAGUAAUGGUUCACCCUUCUCAUGGUGAAGCUUGGAAGGAAUUUAAUAAGGAAUUUAAAAAAUUUGCUGAGGAAGUAAGGAAUAUAAGGCUAUGUCUAGCGACUGACGGCUUCACACCUUUUGGAAUUAAAGCAGCCUCCUACUCAUGUUGGCCAGUAUUUGUUGUACCUUAUAAUCUUCCACCAGAAAUGUGCAUGAAGCAGAGUAACCUGAUCCUUGCACUAGUUAUUCCCGGUCCAGAUCAUCCAGGAAAGAACCUAAACGUUUUUAUGCAGCCUCUAGUUGACGAACUUGAUGAUUUGUGGAGAAAUGGUGUAGAAACUUAUGAUAGUUAUCGAAAGCAAAAUUUCACCUUGAAGGCAGCUUUGCUUUGGACUAUUCAUGACUUUCCAGCUUAUGGAUUAGUAGCAUGCUGGAGCACUCAUGGAAAGCUUGCUUGCCCUAUAUGUGGAUCUGACAUAAAGACAUUCUCAUUGAAGAAUGGAAGAAAGCGAUGCUGGUUUGACUGCCAUAGGAGAUUCCUUCCCACUAACCAUGCAUUUCGUAGGAGUGUGAAAUGUUUUCGCAAGAAAAAAACAGUUUUAGAUCCUCCACCAAAGCCCUUGUCCGGAGAAGAGGUGUAUGAAGAACUCCAAAGUCUUGUCCAUGAUGAAACUGGCAAGAGUAAAUUUGAGGGGUUUGGGAAGGAGCACAAUUGGAUAGCUAUAAGUGGUUUGUGGCAGCGAGAGUAUUUUCGGAAGUUGCUGCUUCGCCAUAACAUUGAUGUAAUGCACAAUGAGAAAAAUGUAUCUGAGGCUUUACUAAACACAUGCCUUGAUAUUCCUGAGAAAACUAAGGAUAACAACAAAGCACGCCUUGAUGUUGCUUUGUAUUGUGAUCGACCAAAGCUACACCUGAACAAGAAUUCAAGGGGUGUGUCGAAGAAACCUAGAGCGAAAUAUUGUGUCAGCAAGGAAGAUAGAAUGACCAUCCUUAAGUGGUUUAAAGAAGUGAAGUUUUCUGAUGGGUUUGCUGCUAAUUUGAGUAAAACUGUCAACUUGAGUAAAAACAAAUUCAUUGGGCUAAAAAGCCAUGACCACCACAUCAUCAUGGAGCGCCUCCUGCCAGUUGCCCUACGAGGCUUCAUCCCAGAACCUGAAUGGAAGGUCAUAGCAGAGUUAAGUUUUUUUUAUCGGCAAUUGUGUGCCAAAGAAAUUGCUCCAAAACGGAUGCGUGAACUUGAGGAGGAGGUUCCUGUUCUAUUAUGCAAGCUUGAGAAAAUGUUCCCACCAGGCUUCUUCAAUGUAAUGCAACACCUGAUAGUGCAUCUUCCAUAUGAGGCAAGGGUUGGCGGCCCUGUGGCAUAUCGUUGGAUGUAUGUUUUUGAGAGGGCAAUGCACUAUCUUCGUUUAAAAGUGAGAAACAAGGCAAGAGUGGAGGGUUCAAUCGUUGAAGCUUGUAUUGUGCAGGAGAUCACGAAUUGUGUUUCUCUUUACUUUAGUGAUCACGUUCGCACUAUAUGGAAGAAGAAUCCUCGAUAUAAUAAUGGAGGAACACGCAUGCAGAAUGAUGGCUGCACCUUAGAUGUGUUUCAGCAUGUAGGAAACCUACAUGGGAGGCCUAUUGCCCGAGAACUAUCGCGUGAUGAGUUGAAUGCAGCAAGGCUGUACAUUUUGACUAACUGCUCUGCUGUUGAUAGAUUUCGUGAAACAUUUGAAGAUGAAAAAUAUGCAAGUCAUCCAAACUUGACAUCAGAGGGCCUUGAUGAAAUGAUGGCAUCCGAAUUUGUGGAAUGGUUCGAGAUUGCUUGCAAAGAAGAUCCUAAUUCUGAUGAGGACUUGUGGAAUUUAGCUAAUGGAUGCAGCUCUAGAGCCUAUUCCUAUAGCUCCUAUGAUGUGAAUGGCUUUCGCUUUAGAUCAGAGAUAUCUGAGAAAAAAGUAGAAGGUUGA